rnacentral:tRNA from 2 species
GGUAACGUGGCCGAGGGGUCUAAGGCGCUGGAUUUAGGCUCCAGUCUCUUCGGGGGCGUGGGUUCGAAUCCCACCGCUGCCA